rnacentral:lncRNA from 1 species
GCACCAGUCGCCAUGGCUACCAACCACCGCGGAGGCGACCGCUCCCUCCCUGAUUUUAGGCGUCGCCGGCCCCCCUCCCCUUCCUUCCAAGCGCCGCCGACCGCUCCCCGCUGAUUCCACACAUCGCCACCCCAUCCCCUGCUUCCACGCGCUGCUAUCCAUCUGCUUCCACCGCGUCGGCGGCUCGCUCCCUGCUUCCACUUCCAUUCGCCGCCUCAGAACCCCGCACACUACCGCCCUCCCUUACCGCCUACAGCUCGCCGUGUGCAAGUUCGUCAGUCCAAGUUCUCCGGCGAGCUCGUCUCUGGUUUCGUUUUCCUUAACACUCGGUAAGGAAAAAUGAUCAUUCAACUUCAAAUAUGUUUUGGACUGAUCGUUCAAGUUCUUUCCUAUAGAAGGUUCAGUGAGUUUUGUUCCUGAAAAUGCACAUAUUUGGAUUACGCCAAUAUAUAUGUAUUUCUGAAUUUGGCUCUUGUGUAACAGUUCAACAUGUAUUAUGCCAUCAAUUCAUAAUGAAAAGGCAGUAAACAGUUCAAUACUUGUAUGUUAAAAAUGUAUCAUUAUAGAGAAACUUUCGUAGUAGUUCGAUGGAAUAAAUCGCAUCAGUUCUGACUCGGAUCCGUUCUUGCCUACAAUGCAUUGAAAAGUCAAUUUUUUUGCCUUUGUUCAGGCUUGAGAAGCAUGUAUCUCUAGGAUAUGUGCCAUGUUAAACUUGAGUUGUUUUCAGUUAACACAGGCCGACUGUCUCUUAAGCCUAAACAAAAUUUAUUUAUGUGAGAGACACCUGAAUUGAAGUUGUUCCCAAGUAAAAGAAACUUCAACUUAUUUGAGCACAUGCUGGUUAGGAUAAUUUUGUAAUUACUUUAGCUCUCGUCAAUGAUAACAGAUCAAAAAAAUUGGCUCCUCUUAGAUGUAACUUGAAGAAUGCUAGCGCUGAGGUUGGGCAUUAUUUAUCAAUGGUAACUUGUUCAUAGGGCCGGCCGGUGGAAAAUUUCCUAAGUUCAACUAGGUUGCUAAAGCUUCAGUCCAACUAUGUUGCUUCUGCAAUUUUCCUUAUGGAGAAAAUCACACUGAGGAACGCUCAAACUAUGUUUCAUCUUUGAACUUAAACGCGUUUGUUCUUCGAGCUAAAAUUCCUAGAGCUUCAUUAGUCCAACUUUUUGUGAUUCUCGUACCUACUAUUCAGAAAUCACUGGUGAAAAACUCUGAUUGCAGCAAUGGCAUGCUCCAAGCCC